rnacentral:rRNA from 1 species
UACGAAGGGGGCUAGCGUUGCUCGGAAUUACUGGGCGUAAAGGGCGCGUAGGCGGACAGUUUAGUCGGGGGUGAAAGCCCGGGGCUCAACCUCGGAAUUGCCUUCGAUACUGGCUGUCUUGAGUACGGGAGAGGUGUGUGGAACUCCGAGUGUAGAGGUGAAAUUCGUAGAUAUUCGGAAGAACACCAGUGGCGAAGGCGACACACUGGCCCGUUACUGACGCUGAGGCGCGAAAGCGUGGGGAGCGAACAGG